AGUUUGAUCAUGGCUCAGAACGGACGCUGGCGGCAGGCCUAACACAUGCAAGUCGAGCGCCCGCAAGGGAGCGGCAGACGGGUGAGUAACGCGUGGGAACGUGCCCUUUGGUUCGGAAUAUUCCCGGGAAACUGGGAGCAAAACCGGAUAAGCCCUUCGGGGGAAAGUUUACGCCAAAGGAUCGGCCCGCGUUAGAUUAGGUAGUUGGUGGGGUAACGGCCUACCAAGCCUACGAUCUAUAGCUGAUCUGAGAGGAUGAUCAGCCACACUGGGACUGAGACACGGCCCAGACUCCUACGGGAGGCAGCAGUGGGGAAUCUUGGACAAUGGGCGCAAGCCUGAUCCAGCCAUGCCGCGUGGAUGACUGAAGGCCCUAGGGUUGUAAAGUCCUUUCGACGGGGACGAUAAUGACGGUACCCGUAGAAGAAGCCCCGGCUAACUUCGUGCCAGCAGCCGCGGUAAUACGAAGGGGGCUAGCGUUGUUCGGAUUUACUGGGCGUAAAGGGCGCGUAGGCGGAUUUUUAAGUCGGGGGUAAAAUCCCGGAGCUCAACUCCGGAACUGCCUUCGAUACUGGAAGUCUGGAGCACGGUAGAGGUGAGUGGAAUUCCGAGUGUAGAGGUGAAAUUCGUAGAUAUUCGGAGGAACACCAGUGGCGAAGGCGGCUCACUGGACCGUUGCUGACGCUGAGGCGCGAAAGCGUGGGGAGCAAACAGGAUUAGAUACCCUGAUAGUCCA
rnacentral:rRNA from 1 species